CAACCGGUGCCUUUUCCCAUAUAUAAGUAUAUGUCUACAUUCACAAUUGAAUACACAACGAUUUAGGGUUAUGAAUAUAAAACGGCUGAUGUAAAAUGAAGAAAACCCUCCUUCGUCCCUAUUCUCGCACUCUUUUCUCUCAUCUGCCGGCUGCGGCCACCGCACAUCGCUCCUGCUUAAAGGUACGUCUUUCUCAGAACGCCCCUGCUUAAAAGGCUCUGCUUAUAGUUCUCUCUUGUAUUUAGUUGCAAAGUCACAAUUUCUUCGGUUUUUAAAGUCAUCCGACAUCAUUACCCCCUUUCAAUACAAUCCAUAAUUAAUAUUCAUUUCAGAUGUUAAUUAUUAUUGUUAGACGUAAUUUUGUUUAGGGGUUUUUAGUUAAUUAUUACUUGGAGUUAAUAUUUUGUUAUAAACUGUUAAUUAUUAUUUGUUAGUUUUUUUCAAUCCCGUAAAGACUUUAUCUAACAAAAAUUUGAUUUGAUUUGAUUUAAUAGGAACUGUCCAGCAUCACCUUGAAUGUCAUCUUCGGCAACACUAUCAUAACAGAAUAUCUAUAAGUAUAACUUAUUCUUAAGUUUUAGAGGCGAAUACAGUAGUCUUCAUGAACAAUGAAGGUUUUUGGUUCAUAUCUUUGUUGUUGAAAUUAUAAACACGAAGCACUAGAAAGACUAAAAACAAUUUUAAUGGAAGAAACUCAUGAAUCUGCUCAAGUAAACGAUAACAGGAGCAAAAAUCAAUGAAUCCGUUACAUAUUUACUGAAAAGUUGGAAGAAAGAUCAUGCAAUAAAAGCACUUGAAAGUUGUGGAUUUCAUGUUUCAAAUGGUUUAAGAGUUCUUGAGCAAAAAUCUUUAAUAGUUGAUUAUGAUCGUUGGUUACUAAAAACAUUUCAAACAAUAAUCAUGUUGCACUUUUACUAUGUAAUUUAAUUGUUGUGGUUAAGAUUUUGGAAUUUAUAGUUGUAAGGGAUCAAAAUGGAAUUAAACAAACUUGAAAAUUUGUAGUUGUAAGGGAUCAAAAUGGAAUUGAAUGGGUGAUAUGAGUUAAUAGUUUGGAUUUGAGGCAUUUGUUGAGUGAAUUGUAUUCUCCAUUGUAACUAUGAGUUAAUAGUUUGAAUUUGAGACAUCAUUUGUUGAAAAUGUUGCAUUUGUUGAGUGAAUUGUAUGCUCAAUUGUAAAUAUGCUACUACUAUAAAUCUAUAAAGAAAGGUAAAAUGUUUGAUUGUCA
rnacentral:lncRNA from 1 species